UGCAAGUCGAGGGGAAACGGCAUCAAGCGCUUGCGCCUGAUGGACGUCGACCGGCGCACGGGUGAGUAACGCGUAUCCAACCUGCCCCACACUAAGGGAUAACCCGCAGAAAUGUGGACUAAUACCUUAUAUUUUCCACCAAGGGCAUCGUCGAUGGAACAAAGAUUUAUCGGUAUGGGAUGGGGAUGCGUCCGAUUAGGUUGUUGGCGGGGUAACGGCCCACCAAGCCUUCGAUCGGUAGGGGUUCUGAGAGGAAGGUCCCCCACAUAGGAACUGAGACACGGUCCUAACUCCUACGGGAGGCAGCAGUGAGGAAUAUUGGUCAAUGGGCGAUAGCCUGAACCAGCCAAGUAGCGUGCAGGAAGACGGCCCUAUGGGUUGUAAACUGCUUUUAUGCGGGGAUAAAGGAGUCCACGUGUGGAUUUUUGCAGGUACCGC
rnacentral:rRNA from 1 species